CUCGUUACGCCUCUUUGGUCACUCUCACCGUCUCUCGUCGGAGGAGAGGAGCGCCGUGGAAUCGAUGCGAUUCGAUGGGUCUCCCACCUCCUUUUCGAAGGGGGAAAAAUGGCCGCGGAGGUAGACGGUUUUCCUCCGAUCUGAGCCGCCAAAUUACGGCAGCAUUGCCGUCCAGUCUUAGAAAGAGGUACUCGGCUUGAAGGUGAAAGCUUAAGGGUUAAGUCAAAAGGUGGAGGACUGAUGAAUCUAGUAAAGAUUGAUUACUUUGAAUCUGCCAGGUACAUGAUUGGUGGAGCUUUUACCACGGGAAAAUGAUGAUCCAGACCUUCCUAGAAGAUGAUGAGCUCCGAAACUUUCAUAAUGUUAAGCAAGUCUGAGAUCGAAUGCUCAUCCGACAACUUUACAAUUGGAUGCUUGAGAUGCUAAAGUUAAUAAAGUCCUUUAAUUUGCAACUCAAGAAAUUGGGAUAGAUUGAUGGCAUAUUUGGAAUCAUGUUUUGUUGGUUUUGAUAGAUGAUGAGUGUUUCACUUUAAAUCUGUGGAGCUAUAUCAAGUAUGUUGUUGGCACCUAUUUUAGAAUUGUUUGCAAGCAAAUGUCAUUUGCAUUCCUGUGUGCUCAGCUUCCACCGGCAUAAGAUGUUAUACUUUACUC